UUUUUUCAUACAUUUAGUAUCUGUAAAAUUAGCAAAAUAAUUUAAACCUUUUAAAAUUAUGUUGAUUGACGAUAAACUACCAUUUUGAUAUAAUGUUGAAACUGUUGUACUAAAAAUGCCACUGGUCGUCACUUUGACGCAAUUUAUAUUUUGAAAUUAACACCUUAACCUUGUAUUGUGAAUUAUUGUAUUUUAGGGGGGUCGGGUAUAUAAAACAAAGUCAAAAAUCACAAAUAAAGCUAUUUGGCUGUUUUGCACGAUCCAGUUAUUAAUGUUUUUUCAAUUCAGUAAUUUUCUAUGUUUACUUAGUCUAUUAGUGCACAUGCCAACACACUUCUUCUCACCUAAUCUCGACCCUUUUCGAUGUUAAGAAGUCAAAAUGUUAAUUUCAUGCUCUAAAGCCAUUUUCUCAAUGACUUACAUGACAAGAUCAACUUUAAUUGGUCAAUGUGUGUCAAGCGUUCAUGUCUCGGGAAUCAACUGAAUUGACUACUCACAUUUCAGCUCAAUAUUAGGCUUUCCCGUAUAGGUUAGUUUGUAUGAAGGAUAAGUAAUUGGGAACUUGACCACUUUUAAAAUUUGAGUGAUUGGCAUUUCAUUUUGAGCUGAGGUCAGCUUAUAAGUUACAGGGAAUAUGUCAGAUUUGUCUGGCCC
rnacentral:lncRNA from 1 species